GUUCUGUUUUGAACAUUACCAAUUGAUAGGAUAUUUGAAAAUAGGAUAUUCGACUUUUUGAACGUAAUUCGACUUUAACCUUGGCCUAAAUGCAUGUCCUUGAGUUCUAUCGAUUUUAAAGGUAUCACCAAAUGAAUGGUCAUCCCCAAUUUAGUUGGAAUCGACACCUUAAAUGUUUUUCUACGCUGUUUGGUUCCAAAAUUAAGCGCGUUUGAACAUUAAGACCCGGUGGACUGGCGGCCAUCUUGGAUUUGACCUCUCACGGUCUUCAGAGGUCAAAUCUGACUUCCCUCCACAUCUUAAAAUUAACAUAAUGGUAUAUACUAACUAUGCUAGAAAUUUCAUGCUUUUCUCAUAAAAUGCACAAUUGUUGUGGUUAUCUGCUGCACUAUUGCCACCAUCCGCUGCGGAAGAAAAAGGA